UACGUAGGGGGCAAGCGUUGUCCGGAAUCAUUGGGCGUAAAGAGCGCGUAGGCGGUCCGGUAAGUCCGCUGUGAAAGUCGAGGGCUCAACCCUCGAAUGCCGGUGGAUACUGCCGGGCUAGAGUCCGGAAGAGGCGAGUGGAAUUCCUGGUGUAGCGGUGAAAUGCGCAGAUAUCAGGAGGAACACCGAUUGCGAAGGCAGCUGGGUGGGACGGAACUGACGCUGAGACGCGAAAGCGUGGGGAGCAAACAGG
rnacentral:rRNA from 1 species